rnacentral:rRNA from 1 species
UUUCGCAAUGCCCGAAAGGGUGACGAAGCGACGCCGCGUGUGGGAAGAAGGCCUUCGGGUUGUAAACCACUGUCGGGAGUUAGGAAAUGCAGGUGCGUUAAUAGCGCACUUGCUUGAUUAGGGCUCCAGAGGAAGCCACGGCUAACUCUGUGCCAGCAGCCGCGGUAAUACAGAGGCGGCAAGCGUUGUUCGGAAUUAUUGGGCGUAAAGAGCACGUAGGCGGCCUUGCAAGUCAGUUGUGAAAGCCUUCCGCUUAACGGAAGAACGGCAUCUGAUACUACAGGGCUUGAGUACGGGAGGGGAGAGUGGAACUUCUGGUGGAGCGGUGAAAUGCGUAGAUAUCAGAAGGAACGCCGGCGGCGAAAGCGACUCUCUGGUCCGAAACUGACGCUGAGUGUGCGAAAGCUAGGGGAGCAAACGGGAUUAGAUACCCCGGUAGUCCUAGCCGUAAACGAUGGGCACUAAGUAGAGGGGUUUU